rnacentral:lncRNA from 1 species
CAGGGAGGCCAUGUAUGGUGCAGUAAGGUAGUUUAAUAAAUUAACAAGGCCAAGGCGAGGGCAAACACCAUGCGCAUAGUGUGUCACGAUCGAGACAAUUUAUGGUUUCGCGUGACAGAGUUUGACAGACCGCACCAAGGUGUUGUUGGCGGGCAAUAUCGUGUACACUUGCGAAAUAGGACUUGUGACUGUGGGAUGUUUAAUGCACUUCGUUAUCCAUGCGCUCAUGUUAUUAC